GAUGAAGAACGUAGCGAAAUGCGAUAAGUAGUGUGAAUUGCAGAAUUCAGUGAAUCAUCGAAUCUUUGAACGCACAUUGCGCCCCUCGGUAUUCCGUGGGGCAUGCCUGUUCGAGCGUCAUUUACCCCUCAAGCACUGCUUGGUGUUGGGCGUCUGUCCCGCUUCGCGCGCGGACUCGCCCCAAAGGUAUUGGCAGCGGUCGUGCCAGCUUCUCGCGCAGCACAUUGCGCUUCUCGGGGCGGUCGAUCGGCGUCCACGAAGCUCACCUCCACCGUUUGACCUCGGAUCAGGUAGGGAUACCCGCUGAACUUAAGCAUAUCAAUAGCGGAGGA
rnacentral:misc_RNA from 1 species